rnacentral:rRNA from 1 species
UACGUAGGGUGCAAGCGUUGUCCGGAAUUAUUGGGCGUAAAGAGCUCGUAGGCGGUCUGUCGCGUCGGAUGUGAAAAUCCAGGGCUCAACCCUGGACCUGCAUUCGAUACGGGCAGACUAGAGUGCGGUAGGGGAGACUGGAAUUCCUGGUGUAGCGGUGAAAUGCGCAGAUAUCAGGAGGAACACCGGUGGCGAAGGCGGGUCUCUGGGCCGUAACUGACGCUGAGGAGCGAAAGCAUGGGGAGCGAACAGG